rnacentral:lncRNA from 1 species
AUGAACGUUUUAAAUCCUGUUCUCAUUGGGGUGAAAGAUUUGAAAGAGAAAGGACUCGUGUUGUUCAUCAACCUUGGGUCACGUGGUUUUCACCGGAAGAGGUUAUUUGGAACAAAAAUAUAUAAUUAUAUCUUGGUUGAGAUACCAAUGGAGACGAGGGAAGGGGGCGUGGCCACAGUCCAUUGUGACAUCACAAUAAGAACUGCAACAAUAGAGAACUCUUUAGACAGGGCGGUAUCAUUAAAUCUUCAGUUCGUGGAGAGCCGUGCACCAGCCAUGUUGUUUCCCAUCGUGCUGUUUGUGCUCAACAUCCUCGGAAGUGGAGUGUCCCGUCCAUCACAGCAGGUUUACCAGAAUGAUGCUGUUGAGGAUGGAGGGAUGUCUGUGGUUCGCGACGUCGCGUUCAUCGUGAUUUCCUUCCUUUUAUUUUGGGUUGUAAUCACAUUUGAUCCGUCAUGUUGGUUCAACAACAAGGGGAGCCCCAAAAGAAAGCUCUGCAUUCACUGGUAAAGAAGGGGGGGGGGGGGGGGGGGGGGGGGGGGGGGGGGGGGGGGGGGGGGGGGGGGGGGGGGGGGGGGGGGGGGGGGGGGGGGG